UUAAGAGAUUUGUGGUCACUCACU
rnacentral:miRNA from 1 species